UACGUAGGGGGCUAGCGUUAUCCGGAAUUACUGGGCGUAAAGGGUGCGUAGGUGGUUUCUUAAGUCAGAGGUGAAAGGCUACGGCUCAACCGUAGUAAGCCUUUGAAACUGGGGAACUUGAGUGCAGGAGAGGAGAGUGGAAUUCCUAGUGUAGCGGUGAAAUGCGUAGAUAUUAGGAGGAACACCAGUUGCGAAGGCGGCUUUCCGGACUGUAACUGACACUGAGGCACGAAAGCGUGGGGAGCAAACAGG
rnacentral:rRNA from 1 species